UACGGAGGGUGCAAGCGUUAUCCGGAAUCACUGGGUUUAAAGGGUGCGUAGGCGGCUAUGUAAGUCAGUUGUGAAAUACCUCGGCUUAACCGAAGGAAGUGCGAUUGAUACUGCGUAGCUUGAAUCAGGUUGAGGUAGGCGGAAUGUGACAUGUAGCGGUGAAAUGCUUAGAUAUGUCAGAGAACACCGAUUGCGAAGGCAGCUUACUGGGCUUUGAUUGACGCUGAGGCACGAAAGCGUGGGGAGCAAACAGG
rnacentral:rRNA from 1 species